AUUGAACGCUGGCGGCAUGCCUUACACAUGCAAGUCGAACGGCAGCACGGGAGCAAUCCUGGUGGCGAGUGGCGAACGGGUGAGUAAAGUAUCGGAACGUGCCCAGUCGUGGGGGAUAACGUAGCGAAAGUUACGCUAAUACCGCAUACGAUCUAUGGAUGAAAGCGGGGGAUCGGAAGACCUAGCGUGAUUGGUGCGGCCGACAGCAGAUUAGGUAGUUGGUGGGGUAAAGGCUCACCAAGCCGACGAUCUGUAGCUGGUCUGAGAGGACGACCAGCCACACUGGGACUGAGACACGGCCCAGACUCCUACGGGAGGCAGCAGUGGGGAAUUUUGGACAAUGGGCGAAAGCCUGAUCCAGCCAUGCCGCGUGCAGGAUGAAGGCCUUCGGGUUGUAAACUGCUUUUGUACGGAACGAAAAGGUUUGGCCUAAUAAGCUGAGCUCAUGACGGUACCGUAAGAAUAAGCACCGGCUAACUACGUGCCAGCCGCCGCCGUAA
rnacentral:rRNA from 1 species